GGAGGAAAGAAGAAGAGCAGUAAAGAAUCGAUGGCAGCCGUCCCAUUGCGUUUUGUGGUUUCUACCGUUUUGAUGAGUUUCCUUGUAAAACUCCACAGCAGAAACGUAUCUUAAGAGGCAUUUUGCUGGAUUCAAGCAGAGCGGCACACUUGCCAGACCAACAGAAGCGUGUGAGGUGUAUCGAUUCAUGGCGCCAUCUAUAAACGGCAUUUCCCCAACACCUUUUGCAUUCAUGCAGCCCAGGAUCAUCACACUGCCACCUCUGUGCUUUGUUGUCUGGAUUAUGCAUUCACUGUGGUAGUGCUGGCCAGGUUAAAUCCAAUCAUGCUCGACCCUGUAUGAGUGCAACCAAUUAAUCUUGGUGUCAUCUGCCUAAGGAAUGCACUCCCAGUAUAGAACAGGCUUCUUUUCAUUUUCACAUUCUUUAGUAAAAGUUUUAUCUGGAAGUUUUGUUUUUUUUUAACGGACAAAAGGUCAGUCUUAUGCAUUGUCCUUCCCACUGUCUGAGCUAUGUCAAGUCUUGCCCGUCUGUUUUUCAGAGCUAGACAGUGCAAGUAACACAUUUCCAUGGCAUCAUUACAGGAUCUGUGAUUAAUGCUACGCUUCAUUUUCUGCUUCCUCAUUACUGCUGAAAAUGUGGUAGAGCUGAAUUUUAGUUGGUCGCAGAUCUCCCUGUAUCCUUCUGUAGCACUGGGGUUUAUUUAAAUUCUCAUAUUUGUUUUCUUUCAGUUGUAUUUCAGGGAUUAGGACAUUUCUUCCAUUUAUUUGUUUUUUAUAGUUCAUAAUUAACUACUGUUAUUGGCAGCUUAAACAGAAUGCAUUUAUUGAGACAGUUUUGAAUUGUUUAGCAUUGAAGGCAUGUAUUUUAUUUCUAUUUAUAAUAUAUGCACAUUUUUAAUUUAAUACCAGCAACACAUUUAAAUGUAAAAAACUGGCAUGUCCACCAGUGCUGCAUCACCCUUUCUGCUCUUUUAACUGCUUAAAGUUUGAUUCUUUUUGGCCAAUUCAAUGGGUCACGGGCCAUCAGCCUCCAUCCUUGAAAAACACAUAA